rnacentral:lncRNA from 1 species
ACUGGUUUGCAACAAUGUCAGCAAGAUCAACCACCCUCUGUGAGUAACCCCAUUCAUUGUCAUACCAAGCAAUAACCUUAACCAUGUCAUCUCCCAUGACCAUAGUGAGUGAAGCAUCAACAGUUGAUGACACAUCACUGCACCGGAAGUCAACUGACACGAGUGGUUCAUCGCAGACUGAGAGAAUGCCAUUGAGUUCCUUGUCAGCAGCCUCUCUAAACGCAGCAUUCACUUCCUCAGCAAAUGUCUUCUUGGAGACUUGAACGACAAGGUCCACAACUGAGACAUUAGGGGUGGGGACACGGAGGGC